rnacentral:rRNA from 1 species
ACAUCCAGAGAACUUAGCAGAGAUGCUUUGGUGCCUUCGGGAACUCUGAGACAGGUGCUGCAUGGCUGUCGUCAGCUCGUGUUGUGAAAUGUUGGGUUAAGUCCCGNAACGAGCGCAACCCUUAUCCUUUGUUGCCAGCGGUUCGGCCGGGAACUCAAAGGAGACUGCCGGUGAUAAACCGGAGGAAGGUGGGGAUGACGUCAAGUCAUCAUGGCCCUUACGGCCAGGGCUACACACGUGCUACAAUGGCGCAUACAAAGAGAAGCGACCUCGCGAGAGCAAGCGGACCUCAUAAAGUGCGUCGUAGUCCGGAUCGGAGUCUGCAACUCGACUCCAUGAAGUCGGAAUCGCUAGUAAUCGUAGAUCAGAAUGCUACGGUGAAUACGUUCCCGGGCCUUGUACACACCGCCCGUCACACCAUGGGAGUGGGUUGCAAAAGAAGUAGGUAGCUUAACCUUCGGGAGGGCGCUUACCACUUUGUGAUUCAUGACUGGGGUGAAGUCGUAACAAGGUAAGCGUAGCGAG